GAUGCUGUGACAGACCUCCAUAGUCUUGGAAAGCAUCAACUCCAAACUAUGCAAGAACCUUCAAAUCUCGAAGGUUGUGAGGAAGCAUCUGGGAGAGCAGAGGAUGGGACUGCAGACACCAGCUGCCAAGUGGACACUCACCCCACCCGGGGGGCUGCAGAGACUGUCCUGGUGUGUUUCCCCUGCUGCCCUGCUCCCCUCUCCUGCCUUUCUGCAUCUUUUCAUCUGUUUCUAGGAGAAUGGAGUUGGAUAGGGAGACAUAAAUUGAAUUCAAAUGAGAACAGAAUCUUUUUCUUCACAUCUACCUUUAGCAAAGGGGUCAGCCACCCAUCUGAUACAUUUGGAAGAGAACCCAAGGUCAGCAGGACCAAAGGAAUACUUUUUAUUGAGCAGCAAGAAGGCUCAGAGUUUACAUCAGAAAACUCACAGCUUCCCGCCCGGCGCUCCUCUGUCUCUGCCUGCUCAUGAUCCAGCCAUAAGGUCCUGUAUGGUGCUGCUUGAGAGGUGCGGGUCUUUGGUCCUCAGGUGGAGGCUGACAGAGGAGGCAGGAGGAGGGGAGGAGGUCCGGGUGCUGCUGCUCUCCCAGUGCUCCCGGCCUUGCAGCUGCGUGUGUGAGCCCGAAGGGAAGGCCUGCAGCUGGGGGACAGGCUGCGGAGGGGCCCACGCUGGUGCUGCUGGAGGAUGCGGCCACCGAGAUCUCAGACUGGAUGAGAAGUUCCCUCCCAGGCAGCAGUGUGGGCUGGGCCUCCCACAAAGAGUGGGACAGCCGCCCUGCCUGCCAGGUGUUCCAUGUUGCCCCCUGGGGUCCUUCAACCUGCAGGCCUUGCUGCUGCCCCCCAAGGAGACCUUGCCUGAGGGCUCGGCCCUGGAGAGACCCUGAUGCUGAACUUGCUGAACUCAGGCAGCCCCGUUGCUUUGGCACCAAAGCGUCAGGAUGCCGUCCAGAGUAAUCAGAUUCCCCACAGUUUGGGGUCGACAUUAGCAUCAGCAGGAAGCAGAGGAGUGACAAGUUGUCCAGAUAAAAUUUGAUGCUGGGCUCUUCUUCUUCAUACACACAGACUAAUUUGGAGAGAUGAGAUAAAUCACGAAUGCUUCAUGGCCAUUCGUUUAUCCCAUAUAUUUUCACUGAAGAACAGGCACCUGGCAUUUGGAAAAGGUUCAAUCUAUGUAUUACAGUUUUUAUCACACUCAAACAAUGUUUCCACCAGUCAGCCUGAACUGAUUUAUUGUGAUGCCAUGACUGCAGAUUUGGAAUGACUCUAUUACUGUGUUUUGGAGCUUUAUAAAUAAAAGCCACUGAUCAGGAAGAAAAUAUCUUAAGAAUGUAAUUUGAUUUAUUGGUGUAUAAAGUCAUAAAGAAUGAAUAAAGUACUAAGGUU